AACGAACGCUGGCGGCAGGCUUAACACAUGCAAGUCGAACGCUCCGCAAGGAGAGUGGCAGACGGGUGAGUAACACGUGGGAACGUACCCUUUACUACGGAACAACUCCGGGAAACUGGAGCUAAUACCGUAUGUGCCCUUCGGGGGAAAGAUUUAUCGGUAAAGGAUCGGCCCGCGUUGGAUUAGCUAGUUGGUGGGGUAAAGGCCUACCAAGGCGACGAUCCAUAGCUGGUCUGAGAGGAUGAUCAGCCACAUUGGGACUGAGACACGGCCCAAACUCCUACGGGAGGCAGCAGUGGGGAAUAUUGGAGCAAUGGGCGCAAGCCUGAUCCAGCCAUGC
rnacentral:rRNA from 1 species